rnacentral:rRNA from 1 species
GAUGAACGCUGGCGGCGUGCCUAAUACAUGCAAGUCGAGCGAACGGACGAGAAGCUUGCUUUUCUGAUGUUAGCGGCGGACGGGUGAGUAACACGUGGAUAACCUACCUAUAAGACUGGGAUAACUUCGGGAAACCGGAGCUAAUACCGGAUAAUAUUUUGAACCGCAUGGUUCAAAAGUGAAAGACGGUCUUGCUGUCACUUAUAGAUGGAUCCGCGCUGCAUUAGCUAGUUGGUAAGGUAACGGCUUACCAAGGCAACGAUGCAUAGCCGACCUGAGAGGGUGAUCGGCCACACUGGAACUGAGACACGGUCCAGACUCCUACGGGAGGCAGCAGUAGGGAAUCUUCGGCAAUGGGCGAAAGCCUGACGGAGCAACGCCGCGUGAGUGAUGAAGGUCUUCGGAUCGUAAAACUCUGUUAUUAGGGAAGAACAUAUGUGUAAGUAACUGUGCACAUCUUGACGGUACCUAAUCAGAAAGCCACGGCUAACUACGUG